CAGGGAAUCUUGCACAAUGGGCGAAAGCCUGAUGCAGCGACGCCGCGUGGGGGAUGAAGGCCCUAGGGUCGUAAACCCCUUUCAGCAGGGACGAAGAUGACGGUACCUGCAGAAGAAGCCCCGGCCAACUACGUGCCAGCAGCCGCGGUAAGACGUAGGGGGCGAGCGUUGUCCGGAUUUAUUGGGCGUAAAGAGCUCGUAGGCGGUUGCGUAAGUCGGAUGUGAAAACUCAGGGCUCAACCCUGAGACGCCAUCCGAUACUGCGCUGACUUGAAUCCAGUAGGGGAGUGCGGAAUUCCUGGUGUAGCGGUGAAAUGCGCAGAUAUCAGGAGGAACACCCAUGGCGAAGGCAGCACUCUGGGCUGGUAUUGACGCUGAGGAGCGAAAGCAUGGGUAGCGAACAGGAUUAGAUACCCCCGUAGUCCCUGAGCGGGCUGGCAAGGCGCAU
rnacentral:rRNA from 1 species